rnacentral:lncRNA from 1 species
GGGGGUUGGUUUUUUUUUCUUUUUUACUUUUUAAAAAAAAAUAAUCAUUUUUACAUAAAAUCAAAUUUAAAAGAUGUUUAUUUAAAAUUGUUUGUAGCAGACAGAAAUGACAUUUAUGUUUUCUGAACAUAAUUCAAAAACUUUAAUCCCCUCAGAGUCUGUGAGUUAUUACCUGAAAGACAAGCUACCCAUAAAUUUCCCGCUUCCUAGACUAAGCAUAUAUUAAUUCCACCUGACUCAGCCAACUUCAUUAUCUUAUUGGCAUCUUUUCUGGCAAAAUGAAUCUCAUGUAUUCGUCAUCACCUUAAGCUAGUUAAAAUAAUAAACUGCAAGACUGCCUCAGACCACCCAAUACCUGGUGUUUUUCUUCGGAGUGGCUGGGAUGACAUUUCUUAAAGCUGCAUUGACUCCACAGGUUGGUGUUUAAUUACUGCUUUUUAAAAUGAACAUGCAUGGAAGAGAUGGGUGCCUCUCCCUCUGUCUUCCUACCCCUUCCAUCCUCCUGCAUCCUCCUCCCAUCUCCCCCACACACACCCCCACCCCACUUGGCCCCUUAACUCAGUCAAAGGGACCUGGAUAAUUGCUGUUGAAUGAUCAUUUUGGAACCCAGCAGGAGCUGCAGCGGUAACACUAGAGCCCUCCCUACUAGCAGAGGAGGAAUUUCCAGGGCUGAUUUUAGGCUGUUUGAACACUAUUGUGUUUCAAAUGAAAAGGUUUUCUCAUUAGUUUUUCCCUUGUGUAGGGCAAAACCUCUGAAUGAAAUGACCAGUUUGAAUCAUCAGUUCCUAACAAGUGGCAGUGUAAGCCAUUUGGGUUUUACUGUUAACAAUAAGAAACUAAGAAAGGCAUCACAGAGAAAUGUUGCUGUGUUUCUAACUUAGAGUUAUGCAAUCCAUCGGGUCAGUGAAGAUGUUUAUCAGUGUGUACUUUGACCUGGUAGUGGCCUUUAUUUCAGAUUAUCCGUGACCCACGUAGCAAUGUACACUGACUCUCUGUAUAAUCCUCUGCUACAUGUACCAUCGCACAAAACAUCUCGGGCAUCAAAUAUUCACAGAAGAAACGGUGUGUUCAAAUAUUCAAGUAUAUUUAAAUUUUAGUCAGAAAGUCAGUGCCUCGUCUUUCUUCCCUCCUGCUCAUUUCAACAGUGUGUGACUUACUGGCCCAGUAUGGCUUACUGCUUCCUGUGAGCUCAGCCCGGCAGCAGCAGAGGCUUGCUCCCUCUGACGACCCACCGCUAUGAGCUCUCUACAGGGCAAGCAGGACAGAAAUGCGGCUGAACUGAUUGAAGAUAAUAAUCAUGAUACCAUCUCCAUAUCACUCACCUUAUGAGUUAGUAAAAGUGUGGAUAUCAUUUUUUGUAACUGGUGAUUUUUAUAAAUGUCCUUGCCUUCAUAGUCCUUCCAGUCACCCAUCUCACAAAAUCUUGAAUAUGCAAUUAUUCUUCAUGACACAUUACUGCAAAUAGGGUUCCCAUUUGAAAAUGCAGUUUAAUGUAAGUUGUUAUUGAAUUGUGAUUUUUUUUUCCUGGAAAAUAAAUGGAAAAAAUAUGAAAAUAAACCAAGCUGUGAACC